CUUGUUGCUACCAUCCAAGAAGAUUGUAGUGUAUUCUCCUUGCUUGGUUCUUGAUCCUUCAAUACUUCAGAACUCGAGGACGAGUUUCUUCUAUAAUAAAUUUCCACAAGCAAGUCUCAGAACAUGUGAACAAAUUUCCAUUGUCAAAGAAGGAAACAUAACCGAUUCAACUAUAUAAUAUAAGAACCAGCUCCAGCUGUAUGUAUAGGCUUAAGAUGUCAAAAUU
rnacentral:misc_RNA from 1 species